rnacentral:rRNA from 1 species
CAGUCGCCACGGGAAUACAGAGGGUGCGAGCGUUAAUCGGAUUUACUGGGCGUAAAGCGUGCGUAGGCGGCUUCUUAAGUCGGAUGUGAAAUCCCUGAGCUUAACUUAGGAAUUGCAUUCGAUACUGGGAAGCUAGAGUAUGGGAGAGGAUGGUAGAAUUCCAGGUGUAGCGGUGAAAUGCGUAGAGAUCUGGAGGAAUACCGAUGGCGAAGGCAGCCAUCUGGCCUAAUACUGACGCUGAGGUACGAAAGCAUGGGGAGCAAACAGGAUUAGAUACCCCCGUAGUCCCUGUCUCUUAUAU